GGUUUAUUUUAUAAGGCUUGGAAUGCAACUAUACUUAAUGGCUUGAAAUUAGGACUUUCUUGGGAAGGAAGAGAAAUGGAACAUAGAUAAUGAGUUUUCAAGAUGAAUACCUCAGAUGGGAAAGUUAUACCAAGGAAAGAGGAGGCAGGAGUCGGUGACUCUGAGCACAAGUGGAAGGGAGUCAUUGGAGAAGUCCAGGAAGCCACAGAAUGUCAUCCCAAAGUAGCCACCCUUUGGCAUGUAGAGUUCCUAGCAAUGCCAGAUCCUCAACCACUGUGCCAGGCCGGGGGGUGUACCUGCGUCACAGCGCUCCAGAGACACUGCCAAUCCCAUUGCGCCACAGCAGGAACUCCUGUGCUAUGUGCUCUUGUUCUCAGAGACAUGGCCCAGCUUUGCCCCAGAAGAGUUUGCAGUGCAGGUAGAAGACACCUGACACCUGACACCUAACAGCAAUUCCAGGUAAACUGUUCUAACUGCUGUAAGAAUUCAGACUAAGAGCCACUUCACAGCUCCCCAAAAUUCCCUUGUGAGGUUAGAUGUCAGAAUCUCAUUCUUGUUUAGAAGAAUUCACUCAUUCAACAAAUAUAUAUUGAGCAUCCAUUAUGUUCCAGGUAGUAUUAUAGGGAUUUUGGACACAUGAGUGAAUAGAAUGGACUGAACACUCUCCCUCGUGGAGCUUACACUCUGGUAGGGACCUGGUUUAUCUGCUUUGGUACUGGGCUUGUUUCCCCAUGCCUGGCUGUGCCUCAUGAUGCUUCACAGCAGCCAAGAUAAGCAGGAUGGGUGAACAGGUGAGAUGAGUCAUCAGAACCCAUUCUGAGAAAGAAAGAGCAGAACAAGGAAGCAUAAGCGAUUUCCUCUUAUAAUUUUAAUCUUGCCUUCAACACAUCCUUGAGAAUUUCCAGUCCAAAGUAAUAAUUCAUGGACCCAGUACACU
rnacentral:lncRNA from 1 species